rnacentral:lncRNA from 1 species
GAAAUAGCCAUCAUAAUUCUCACCAACACUUGUGCUAACAUUUUUAACUUCACCAUUAACAUUUUCAUCACCACCACUACCAUCCCUUUUAUUCUCUUCUUGGUCUUUGGUCGAAGUAGUUGAGCUCCUCCUGUUCUUGCUGUCAAACUUGCCAAUUCUAGAGACAGAGGAAAGUUUCUUGUUGGAAGCUGAGACUAUAUGGAGGUGAUCUUGAGGUGAUCUUCUGAGUGGAAACAGGAAUUGAGGACGGCAUGUAGUGUGGGUGUAAGGGUGGUGUCUCGUGGGGUUGGUGUAGAGGAUUCUGCCUCCACCACCAUUGCCAUUGGCUAUGAAGAGAGACAUGAAUUCGGGGGCGAGUGAGGGGAUGAGAUUUUGUGAACUAUGGAGACUAGUAUUGUGAGGAUAAAAUGCAAGCCUUUUUCUGUGUUCCUCUCUAGUUUUGUGGGCUUGGCUUGAACUGGUUGGCGCAGUCUUUAUUGUGCAUUAAAAAUAUCACCGUGUAACUACUUUCAAUUGGGCCUAAAACUGUGUUACUUGUCACAAUUGUUUUUGCAAACACAUAGCAAAAAAAAAAAAAAACAAUUUUCCUUUAUUCUUUUUAGUUUUCUUCUCUUUUUUCAGUUUUUAAUGAAAAAUAAAAAAAAAUACAUGUUCAUUUCUUAAAAUUUCAUAACAUUUAUCCAACUCAGAAAACUAGAAAAUAUGUUUAUAUUAUACUGCUUUUCAUUCGAAAAAAAAUCGUAUUCAAAUUAAAUAUGUUAUCUAUGAUGUUUUUUAUAUUUUGAUGUACUUAAAUAUUUUUUUUCCUAAUCUUAACGGUAUUGUCCAUUUUUUAAUUUAUUUAUCAUUAUUCUGAGAGAAGUUUCACCUAAUUAAAUUGAAUGAAAUGCAAGAAUAAACACAAUAAAAAUAAAACAUUUUCACUAUUAAAUUUUUAUUAAUAAUAAAAUUCAACACAGAAACAAUAUUAAUUAAAAUAUAAUAAAAUUAUUAAAUUAUUUCAAAGAACAAGAGAAGAGAGAAAAAAUCUUAAGGGUUGGACCAUUUAAAACAAUCAUAGUAUAUUUAAAAAUUCAAUUACAAUUACAAGAAAGAUUCAGUCAGAAUUCCUCUGUAAGAAGAUCUUUAUCUUAAAAAUUAAAGGUGUAUUCUUGUCAAUUCAUUUUAAUACCCGGAAUAUGCAUUACUUUGUAAAAUUCAUACUCCAAAUAUUAAUUAACAAAUUGAUUUUUAUGGUGUUUUUAAAAUUUUAGUCAAAUACUAAUGGAUAAUCACAAACUUGUUGUGAUACCCAUUACUAUAUUUUUUUUCAUAUUUUUUAGUGAUAAAAAUGUAAUUUUUUAUUUUUUAUGAAGUAUGCAAGAAAAUUUCAUAAUUUGAUCGAAUGCAAAAAAAUAACAACAUAUUUUUUGUAUUUAUUUUUCAAACAAGGAAUUUAUAUAUUUCAUGUAUUUUUUUCUAAAUGUUUUAAUAAAGAAAAAAAUGGCAAGUAUAUUUAAUAAUGGGCCAGUACCUUACAUUCUAAUUUACAUCCCAAAUAUUAAAUAAAAUAGUUGGAAAAUUUUAAAAUAAUUGAUGACGAACCCAUAAAUAAUUUUAAAAUAAUGCCUGAAUUUCUUUAGAAUUUUUGAAAAUUAUUUGAGGUGAGUUUGGAUAAAGCAUAAAAUAUGAGAAAAAAUAAACGCUACUGAAAAAUCAGUAUGACAUGUUUUCCAAACACGCUCUUAACUAAAAAUUAAAGGCUUUAAAAUAUAAGAACAAAUUAUGAUGUUUUUUUCUCUGAGAAUUUUAAAUCAACCAAAUGCUGCUUUAGCAACUAAAAAGAAAAUGCAUAAUGAACAUCGAAUACAAACAUCUAAUAAACAUAAUGAAAAGGGAGGGGGUGUGCUCAUUAAGCUCCACCCUCUCAUCAAAGUUUGAGGAAUACCUUAACAAUGUAGCCUUUUUUGCUUGGAAUUUUUGGCUCCUUCCUCAAGCUUCUAGUCCUCUAGUAUUUCUACAUUUACUCUUGAACUCAAGAGCUUUGCCUUCUACCUUUUUCUCUCCAUUUCUUAUCAAUCUUUCAUAGCCCUUCUAUCAAGAGACUUUUGACGAUUUAAUACUCUAAGUUUUUCUCCGCCUUUUCUAUGUGAUUCUCUUCCUUUUUCCUCUGUGAUUUCUUUUUCUUUAUAACUUUAAAAGGCAGGUAGUUUUAAAAUCAUUUGUGGGUUUGAAGGUGGUUUUUCAAAAUUAGAUCAUAGGAGAUUACUUUCUAUUUUUUUUCUUUUUUUUUGUUAGGAGACGAUUCUUCUAUCUUAUUCUUUUAUUUUCCAGCUCUCUAGAUGUCUAACAAACUCUUGGAGCUUCUAGAAAAAGUUUGGAACUUCAUAACUAAAGCUUGGCAGAAAAUGGCUGAUUGGGGGUGCAUUUUUCAUGAAUUAAUCAUGGUGAAUAGAAGGUUAUUGAAGCCAACCAAGUCAUAGAUCCUGUAAGGGUGGUGUUAUUCUUCAACUAGGAUCAAACCAUGAUUGAUUUGGUGGCCUGUAGUUUUCCCUCCAUUGAUCCAAAGUUAGGUGUAACACUACUAAAUUUGACUGAAUCAAACAAGACUGUCUUGAGAAAAGAAGUUGAGGGUUUCCAUAUGGCAAGUGGAGUACAAACACUGAACAAGGGUGACACAAACUUAUAGAAGGGAAACUCGUCUAUUAAAUAGUUGUGGUUAAAGUUUGUAAGGUGGUCGAAGAAGCUACAUUCAUUUGCCUAAACAUAGAAACUCGAUUAGCCUUCUCGGCCGAGAACGACAAUAAGAAAGGGACAAACAUGUCACUCAAUCUCUUCAUUAUAAAAGAAUGACAUGUCAUCUGCUUACACCCUAAAAAUUAGGGCUUACUAAUUGGGAUUUUGUUAAAUUUCAAUUUGGUCCCUCUUAUUUCAAUUUGUCUUUUACAAAGUAGCCCUUGUUUUUUUAUUUGUUCAAUAUAGUCCCCAAUUACUCCUUAAACUUUGAUGUCCUUCAAUUUAGUCCUUGAAAACAUUUGGCACAACCCCCAAUAUUACGCGUCUUUUACAGAAUGGUCUUUUGUCUUGAAUUUUUUUAAUUUGCCCCCCUUAGCCUUCAAACUUCAAAUUUCUUGCAAUUGAACCCCUUAUUUUACCAACUUGGCCUUUCAAAGUUUCAAUUGUGUCCCUAAUCAUCUAAUCUUUACGAAUUGAUCUGAAUUAGGCCUCCAAACUUGAUUUUUAUUCAAUUGAGUUCUUAAUUGAAUCCAUAAAACCAAUCAGAAGUUUAAUUAAGUCUUAAACUUAAUAAAUUCUUCCAAUUUUGGUCAAGUUUGGAUUUCAACCUCAAUUUUCAAUUGUGUUCCUAAUCAUUUAAUCUUUGCGAAUUGAUCUGAAUUAGGCAUCCAAACUUGAUUUUUAUUCAAUUGAGUUUUUAAUUGAAUCCAUAAAACUAAUUAGAAGUUUAAUUAAGUCUUAAACUUAAUUAAUUCUUUCAAUUUUGAUCAAGUUUGGAUUUCAACCUCACUUUUCUUUUUUUCUUCAUCCCAUCUUGUCAAAAUAUCCCAAUCUGUCCAUGGUUUCUGAUUGGGUGACUUGCACGUGGUUUGUGUUCAGAUAACUUGCCAAUGGAGAAAAAUAUCUAAGAUUCUCCACACAUGAUGAUGUCUUGGAUCUUUUUAUGAUGAGUUUUGACCUUCUUUCUUUCGAGAUGUUUCAUCUUUUUUUCAUGCAUUUUUAAUCAUACCUGGACUAAAUUCUUGAUGGUUCAAAUUUGUUGUGCUUUCGAGGAACCUUCCUUAAAAAUUCUUGAAAAUAUGCUUAUGAUAUAUAUGUAUGCAUUUUACUUGUUUUGAAAUAUUGGUCCUUCUCUUUUUUAUCAACUUCUUGAAUUAUUCUAAUUGUUUGGCUAUUAAGCUACUUGAGCUAGCGUGUAGAUCUUUGCGCGAUCUCACUAUUCCUUUAGUGACUAUUUUUAGAGUUUUUGACCUUAUGGAUUUGAGGAAACAAUUUCAUGCUUCAAAUAGUUUUCUAGAAAAGUUUGAAUCAAAGUUGCCCACUACCUUCUUAAUUGUUAUGAGAAGAACUUUACUUCUUUUUAGAUUGUCCGUUGUCGUAUCCUUUCAAAUGUACUUAUAUUGGUGACUUAAGUAAAUGAUACUUUUCAAAAGUCGUCCUUUAUCUUAUUGAUUCUUGGGAAUAAAUCCUAUUUGUAGCAGUUGUCAGACUUCUAACCUUUUUUAAUUUUGAAAACCUAAGUGAUUUUGAUGUGCGCUCAAAAUAAUAUCUUUAAAUUAUGCAAUUCUCUGUUUUUUUAGAAAUGAAAGUUUUUUUGUUCAUUGUGUUUUAAAGGGUGUUUGAAAUUGGCAAAAGUAUAUGGUAAGGUAACCAUAAAUUUAGUAUAGGUUUUCUUAUAGUAAAAGCUUGUUUUUCUUGGAUGCUCAUUUUAUCUUUAUAAAUAAUAACAAAUAGUUUUGCCCACCAUGCCAUAAUUAUGAUAAAAUUUUUAACAUGUUGAGGAUACCAUUUAUCAAUCCAAAUUGCUUGUUUGCUUGAUUAGAAAGGAGUUAUAAAGGCAUGUAAUGUAGGUUGCGACUUUUGGUUAUGAAAUAAAGAGAUUUAUAGGCUCAAAGAGUAUUUCAGGGUUUUGCAGACUUGGAAUCAUGUCCUUUUUUUUUUCAUCGUGCUUCUUUGAUUCGUCCCUUUUGAUUGCUUUGAUGGGGCAUUAUCAUUUUGUUUUGACCUUGAGUUGAUCAUUUUUUUUCCUUUUAGAUAUGCUGGGGCAUUUGGUUUUUUUGUGUUCUCUCACUUUUUUCAGGACCUCUCUUUGGCUUUUUUUAUCUUUAAAUUUUUUUCUUACCCCUAAUGUGGGGUGUGAUCCUAGUUAGGAUCGAUUCUUGAUCUUUGGAAUUCUAUUUGCUCCCUUAAAUGGGGUGUGAUCCUAGUUAGGAUCAAUGCUUGGUCUUUGGAAUUCCCAUUUGCCCCCCAGUGUGGGUUGUGAUUCUAGUCAGGAUCAAUUCUUGAUCUUUGGAAUUUCCAUUUGCCCUCCCAGUAUAGGGUGUAAGUCUAGACAGGGUUUUUGUGGAAGAAAAACUAAUUUAGGCUUAAAUGGGGAUCACAAACGAUAUACUUAAGAAUGUGAAGGGAUAACAAAGAUGACUUUUUUUCUUUUCAAGCACAAAUGAUCUAAAUCGAUAAAUAUUUGUCAUCAUCCAGUGUAAUGGUUUGGAUUUUUUUGCAUAAAACUUUAAAUUAAUGAUGAGUGAAUCUUAGUAUAUAUGAUUAUGCAUAUAGCUAAAAUGUAGCUCAUGAUAUAAGGUGUAAGUGAUUUUCUUGUCACCUCAAGGUGGGUAUUGCUUGAUGAACAAAUGUCAAUAUCAUUUUAAGCAACAUCACAUUAGUUUUCUUUGAAAACCAAAAUCAAUCAAAAGUCUAAAAAGUUAUUUAUGAAAGAGAAUUUGUUUUUUUCAAAAGCAUUCUAAGCCGAUGAGAUCAUGCAAGGUUUUAAGGGAUGUUUAUUUCAAAAGGAGGGUAUAUGGAAAGAGAAUUCCUAGCCAAACAUUAUUUUAUUGAUGAGAACAAAUUACACAAAGUAUUUCUUUAUAGAAUCUGAAUUCAUAGGCUUAAUUACAUCUUCUAUAUCCAUGCUAGUUAAGAUCAGUGCCCCUUAUGAGAACGCCUUUUUUUUUAUCGUAUAAAGGCCUUCAUAUUUUAGUGCUUACUUGUUAUGAUCUUUAUUAGGCAAUGGUAGAAUUUUUCUUAACACCAAAUCAUCUUCUGUAUAUUCUUUCGACUGAAUUUUCCUGUCUUAUGUCUUAGAUAUUCUUUUUUGGUACAACUAGUGAUGGAAAAUUGUUGUUAGCCUCUUUUCACCUAUAAUUUUUAGCUAAUUAUAUCUUAUUUUUUUCCUAUUCAGCUUCUUCUAAAUCAGACUCCAUCAAUACUCUCAACCAAACGAUUUCUAAUUCCAGGGGCAUAACCACUUUCAUUCCAUAUACCAACGAGUAGGGUGUAGCAUUAGUUGAUGUUCUCAUUGCUAUUCUAUAUGCAUGGAGAGCAUGAGGGAGCAUUCAUACCAAUCUUUAUAAGUGAUUACCAUCUUUUGGAUGAUCUUCUUUAUGUUUUUGUUGGCAACUUCUACAGCUCCACUCAUCUUUGGCCUGUACAGGGAUGAAUUCAAAUGCUUGAUCUUUCAUUUAUCAUAUAAUUCAAGGAUUUUUUUCCAUUAAAGUUUUGGGCAUUAUCCGUGACUAUUUUUUCAGGCAACCCAUAUCAGCAAAUCAGCUCUCUCUAAAUAAAUCUUUAUGACAAUUUUUUAAGUCACAUGUAUGUAUGAACAAGCUUCAAUCCACUUAGUAAAGUAAUCAAUUGGUACUAAGAUGAAUAUGUUUCCAUUGCUAACUUUUGGAUUAAUAGGCCCAAUAACAUCUACCCUCCCCCCCCAUAUUGUGAAUGACCAAGGUGACAUUAUAUUGAAUAGUGGAACUGGUGAUGUAAACACCAAAAAAAAAAAAAAGAGAAGUAAAGCCGAAAUGACUCCACCAUUUUUUGAAUCGGCAGCAACACAGUUUUUUGCUGCUGAUUUUUGAAUAGGCAGCGAUACAAUUUUGGCUACCGAUUUUUGAAUCGACAACGACAAAGUUUUUGGCUGUCGAUUUCUGAAUCGGUAGCGGCACUGUAAAACCCAACAAAAAUUAGUGUUGGAUUGGCUUAUCCUAGAGAAGAAUUGGGAUAGGAACCAGAUAUAUCCAGCACCCAAACGCACCCCACUCAUUUAAGAAGGGGUAUAAAUGCAAGGAGAGAGGGAGGGUGACCUUUCCUCUUCCUCAAACAUGCAGCUGGCCCUCUCCCUCUUUUCCAAGAUAAAACCAGCCAGCUGCAUGUAACAAACCCUCUCCCUUUUCCUAAAGAGAAUACUGAAACCGACCAGCUACAUGCAGAUCUCCUAGGGUGCUGCGUGAGAAGAGAGCUAGAGGGAAAGAGAAGUGACCGAAAACAUGGUGGAAGCUGGAGCCUAGACCUUCCUCCAGAACCGACAGCAGCCAUGGCUGCAGCACACAUCCCUCCUUCAAGCAGAAAACCGAACCCAACCAGCCUGCAUGCUACUUUCCCCGAGCGUGGAGUGAGAAGUGAGUAAGAAGAAGUAGACAAAACCAAAAACCUAGGAGAAAGAGGAGCCUAAAGGCCAGCUGGACAACAAGAGAUGGAAGGAAGAAAACCAAAAAAGAGAGGGAGAGCAGGCCACCGCAACCAACAUUGAACUUGUUAAAUUUGUGAGGUAUGAACCAUACUACUCCUCCACUUGUUUUUGGGGCCUUAGAACUGAAAAAGUGAGAAGAAAACCUAAAGUAAAUAGCCUAAGAUUCUCACACCAACUGUUAAGGAAAACUAGACAAGGAUAAGGGAUGAAAAUGGGGUUGAAUGGGGGACCUAAUUUCAGAACAUUUAAAGAGGAAUGUAUAAUUUUGAAUGCAAAAAACUUAGAAAGCUGGUCGGCCAUGGUAAGGGCUGGACAAAACAUAGAUUAAUGGAAGUUGAAUGAUGAAUGCCUUGCUUUGUGGAAUUUGCAAAUUGUUUUUCUAUUUUAAUGCUUUGAUUACUAGAGACUAGUAAUAAGCUGGUUGGGGGGUGUGAUUAGUACUUAAAAGUGUAUUUUUAUCAAUGUUUUAUAUCAUCAUUUUGCACUUGAAGUAUCAAUAACUCUUUAACUAGAGCAUGUUUUAUAACAUCUCUAAUAAUAUAAGAUACCUUUAAUUUAUGGUAAAUGUUCAUCUUAAAUGCAAGCCUAUCAUAAAUCAAAGGAUUGAUUGAUGAGUUUAACUACUGAAAUUGAGAAGACAAAGAGAGGGCUAAGCUUAGAAAAGAGAUGCUGGUUUAGUCCAAACUGGAACACCAUUCGGUUAUUGGAUCAUAACUGAAGUUGUAGAACUUGGAUUUAGGUCUGGUUUAUAUGUAUGGAAAGCUAAGACAUAGGCCUAAAACUUUCAUGAAGAGUCCAAGAUUUAAAAGUGCCAUUUUCUAGUUUAAAUGGUAGCAGCAACGGAGAAGUCGGAAUCUAUCUUGCAGCCCAGACACUGUUCAGUGUUCAGCCCAUAUCUCGAGUUCUAGAAGUUCAAAUGCAUCGAUUCUUGUUUUUUUGGAAAUCUGACACAAUUUCCCAUAACUUUCAUGAAUACUAUCUGUUCAAAUUCUGAUGUUAGCAAUGACGUUUUGUUCAGACAAAAAGAUAAGGAUUGUCACCAAGUCAAGAUAUGGUCACCCACUCAACAAUUAGUCAUCAAAUCAAUAGUUCUGAAUUUUAGCCUAUAAAAGGAGGCAUUUGCCAUGCAUUUAGGCAUCUUGAUUUUUAGAUCAAGAUCGUGUUCUUGCUCUUUCUCUUUAUAUUUUUGUAAUGCUUAAGUUUUGCUUUCAUUAAUCUCUUGUUCAUGCCUUUCAUUUCCUUUAUUAUACUUAUAUAAUCAUGUUCUCCUCUUGUUUAUUUAUGUUUCUCUUAUUCAUAAUGUUCAGCUAAGUUUAUUAGUCAAGGUUAAAAGGUUACACUAAUGGUGUAAGAAUAAGUAUAGUAUAAACUCAACAUGGACUUUAAUGUUUGAUACUAAGAUGUUUUAUAUUUAUUAUCUUACUCACUCUUAAUACAUUGCUUGUUAAAUGGUUAAUCUAGAUUUGUGUUGAACAACCCUUGGCACAACAAAUACUUGGCACUUUCAUAGCCCAACUGUAUGGUAUAACCGAUGCCUGAGCUAUGAAAGGAACUUGAUUUGUUGUUAACAUAAGUUAUCACCAUGAAUACCUGAUAAUAUUUACAAGUAUUGGCAUUACUCGAAUAAGAUAAUUGAUGUAAUCAUGUUAGCAAUUUAUAAUCCGAUUGGAACCUCAUUUGUGUGUGGUUUCCAGUCAAGUAAUAAAAAGAGUUUAUACUAUACUUAUUUGAAAUAUCAUUAGUGGAUCCUCUAACAUUGACAAUUGUUUUAUCUUUGUUUAAAUCUUUACAUCAUUAUCACAUCCCAAAGCUCUCUUCAAAUCUUUUCUUUUAUUUAUAAUUCUAUAUAGUUCACUCCCUGUGGUUCGACCCCGGUCUUGUCGGGUUAUUUAUUACUUCGACACUCCUGCACUUGGGAUAAGACAUCAACUCUUUGAUCGUGUCAUAUAUAAUUGUUAACUAGAAGAUAAAACAUGCUAUAUAGUUCAGUCUCCCUAAAAAAACCCCUUAUUUCUUUAUUGGUCUUGGGUACUAACAUUUCUUGGAUGUCUUUGACUUUAUUUGGGUUUACCUUGAUUCCUCUAUUACUUACCACAAAUUCUAAUAACUUCCCAGAUUUAACCCUGAAUGUAUAUUUUGCUGGAUUCAACUUUAACUAUACUUCCUCAAUCUCUCAAAGAGUUUUCUCAAAGUUUGCACGUAAUCCUCUUCCAUUUGGGUUUUGGCUAUCAUAUCAUUAAUGUAUACUUCAAUCUUUUUAUGCAUCAUAUCAUGAAAAAAUGUUACCAUCGCUCGCUGAUAUAUGACUCCAGCAUUUUUCAAACCAAAUGGCAUUACCUUGUACCAGAAAGUUCUCCAUAGGGUAACGAUGGUAGUCUUUUCCUUGUCUUUUUUGGCCAUCUUGAUUUGGUUAUAACUUGAGAAUCCAUCCAUGAAAGAGUAAGUGGAUUUCUUGGCAGCAUUGUGUACAAACAUGUCAAUGUGAGGGAAUGGAAAGUCAUCUUUUAGGCUAGUUCUAUACAGAUCCCUAAAAUCCACAUAUACUUAGAUUUUAUUACCUUUCUUGGGCAUUACUACUAUGUUUGAUACCCAUUAAGGGUAUUUGGCCACUUCUAGAAAACUUUCACCCCACUUUUUUUUUUUACCUUAAUUAGGAUGUUUGCCUCAUUCUUCUUAGUUUAUGCUUUAUAGGAUUGCACCCCUUUAUUAGAGGCAACCUGUGUACCACAAUACUAGUAUCUAGUUCAGACAUAUUGGCAUAUAUCCAAUAAAACACAUCAGAGAACUCUUUCAACAAAGCUACCAAACCAUCCCUUUAUUUGGGAACAAUCUGCAUUGCAAUCUUCAAUUCUUUUUUUUUCACACUUAGUGUAUACAUCCACCAUUUCUAAUCUUUCUUCCACGGUUUUUAAGGCCUUCUCAAACUGCUCAAUUAUAUUAAAGAAUUCUCUUAUGUCUUCCUCUCCAAACUCUUCCUCAUCUAUAGCAAUUGUGUUUUUAUCAAGAUUUGACUAAUUAUUCUCAAUGUGAUGAGUUUGCAUGUUUAUUGAGGUUUUGCUUUCAGAUUUCCUGAAAGUGAAAAUUGUUUUUAUAUGAAAAAUGAAAGUAAGUAAGUGAAGGCAACACAUGGAAGAAAAAUGCAUGAUCUUAUUAAAAUUGAAAAGGGUGACUCAAACUCAUAUAAGGUCUCCAAACUAAUAUCUUGAGUCAUGAUUAUCAAUUGGGUGAACAUAAAAACAAAAACAAAGAAGGAAAAGACUCAUGGAAAGAUAUAUAAACUAAGCAUGUCAGAUAUAAGCAUUCUUGGAUGAAAUUACUUUUAGAGAACAAUCAUGAUAUUUUGAGUCUCUCAAUUAUUUAGUUCUUCUCCUUCAGCCAGCUUCCUUACAAAACUUUCUGUAGGAGUCUCUUUGAGGGAGUUGAUAAUUGACCGGGGUAAGAAUAGCUCAAAAGUGCUUUCAUUAACUUUCUUAGCUUUUUCUAGACAAUUGAUUAUAGCACUAACAAUUUUUUUCUCCAAAUCCUUUAGUUCUUGUCCUGCUCUCAUCAUAUAUAUUGGUCGUGGGAAAUUUUCCUAGAUAUGCAGAAUCUUCAAUUCUUCCUCAAUGGGUUCCUUUCUCUUAAUCCAAACCAUUCUUUUUUCUCUUUAAAUUCUUUUUGCCCUUGCAUAGUCCUUCUUUAAAGGAAUGAACCACAACUCAAAUCUUUGAUUAGUUGCUCUCAACUUUCUAAUGUUUAUCCUCUCAGGCAUAACGGUGAUUGGGUCAUAUUGAAAAGGCAAACCGUGCUUUAAGAAGCAUUUUGAUGCCAUGAUUACGGCUUCUGAAAGUUUUGGUGUGUUCUGUAUAGUGUUUUCAAGCACCCACUUAGUAUUUACAACUUCAAAGACAGGUAGGUCACCAUCUAUAUUGUUUUAGCCUCAAUAUAUAGAACUGCCACAUUCUUCAUAAUUGUCAUAACCUCUUCAGACAUCACGGUUACCAGUUUGCCAUUGAUUAUAAACUUGAUCCUUUGGUCUAAGGAGGAUGCUACCACACCUAUUGUAUGUAUCCAUGAACUUUCUAAUAACAUGUUGUAAGAAGGGUGGAUGUCCAUAACUUGCAUGGUUACUUGAAACACUUACGAGCUAAUAACCAAAUCAACAUCAAUGUUUCCAAUGAUGGGCCUUGGUGUUCCAUUACAUGUUUUGGUAACACGUUCAGAGCAGACUUAUUGUGUAUGAGCACUUUGGGGACAACACAAUCUUUACAUUUCACCAUGAUGUAUAAUGGCUUGUUAUGCCUAGUUCCCUCGAGAUCAAGUUCAUCUUUAGUGAAAUACAAGUAAUUAGCAAAUUAGAUUCUUCCUAUUAAAUGUUACAUAGAGUCUUGUGUCAUGUCUUGAGGGAUAUAAGCUUUAUUCAGGUCUUUUUGGAGUGCAUUUCGGUGUAGUUUUGAGCUUAGGAUUAAAGACAUCAGGGAAAUUAUGGUUGGUGUCAUUUUCAGCUGAUCUACCACACUGUACUCACUAUGCUUCAUUAGUUUCAGAAACUUGAUAACUUCCUCCUCACUCAUUGGUUUGUUACCUCAUAAGUUUUGGUUAAAUUCAUUGCAUCCUUUGCCUUGGUUUUCCACUGGUUUUCUAGUUCUUCAAGGAUGAAACACCUCCCGCUUAUAGUUAACCCUUCAAUUUCAGCAAGGAAAUUGGUGCAGAAACUCUGGUAGGAUGGGAUUGGUCGUAAUAAUAAGGCAAAACAUUAUAAUUUCCCUUUCUAUCUACCAUCGGCUUGGUUAAAACCAAUUUUGGUGGCCUAUUCUUGGUUGAUAUCUACAUACUUGCCCAACCACCAUCCAUACCUCCAUCUUUUUUUCAAGGGUGUCAAUUCUUAGCAAUCUUUGUGCCAUCUUACUUCACACUUCACUGUGAAAUUCUUUACAAUAAUCAAUGACAUGCCUAUUGUGUUGGUGAUAUAGGCAGAAGUCACCAUUAUUUUUUUAGGCUUGUUUUUGUGAUUAGUGUUUUGAGAGUUAGCUUUAACACCUUGUAUAACUCACUCAUGGCUAUCCUUAUAGCUUUUGCUUCCUUCCUUCCUGCCUCUACAAUGUUAAUGUUUCUACUUCUCGAAGCAUGGUUGGGAAGAGGAUUUCAAUUCACACUGAGUGCGUCAUCAAAAGUGAUUCAUCCAGCUUUGAUGAGCUAAAAGACCUUUCUUUUUAAAGCGAUGCAUGUCUCAAUGCUAUUGUUGUGAUGUCGCGGUCAUACAAAUUAAUUACCCUAGCUUAAAUAGAUAGUAUAAAACAUGUAAGGGGUUGAUCCUAUGAGGAAGGUUUAGUUCAUAUUUUUAUGUUAGACGAUAUGCAAUUUGGGGGGGGGUUGAGGUUAUCUAUGCUAUAGCAGAAUUAAACAAUCAAGCUAAAUUUAAUAAAUUAUAAAACUAUCAAGAGAACAAACCUUGGUUUCAAGUAGACGUCCAUUUGUGGAAAUCAGAAUCAAUAAUUGAAACGAUACAUCAAUUUACAUUUUGAAAAUUUAUCUUUUCUUAAUGUUAGUUAGUUAACCGAUCCACAAUGUAACUAACCUUAACUAUCGAACAACCACAAUGUCCACACUAGUAAUUUAAUUGAAUGAUAGCCUUAAAAACUAGAUAAGCUGAUUAAUCUAGACACAUAAUUGUCUACAGUACAUGUUUGAUUUGAUCGAAUGUUUUCCCUAAGAUUAAAACAUAGCUCCGCUACAAUUAUUAAACUCAGUUACUUCACAAGUUUAUAUACCACAACUCCGGUUUUGAUGGUAAACUUAGCAAUAUAUUGUUUACAAUAAUAACUUAGAGUCCACUUUAGCUAUUAAAAAAAACAAUUAUAGGAAAUAAGCAUAGAAAAACAAACAUAUUCAUUAUAUAAACUGAAAAGAAAAGGUAAAAUAAAUCUCAUAGUUCUUGAAAUCCAAAGGUUUAUGUGUCCUUGCAACCAAGAAAAAGAGCUUAGCUUUGCAUGUCUAUUGAACAACUAAUCAAAUGGAAAUAAGAAUACAUGAUUUCGGGUUUUUGGAGGAAAAAGUAUGUUUUUCUUCUCUUUUUUGGCCGCCCCCCUUUCCUUUAUCUAUUUCUUUUUAUUUGAUAGGAAACCCUAAUCCCUUUUUCCUACAAAAUAGUCAUUUCCUAAGUAGACAAUUUACAUUUAAGUAUUUCAGCAACUAUUUCCCUAAAAAAGAAGAAAUAGUCUUGCAUAAGAUCUUCAAGCUUUGACUUUGGACUUAGAGGAGCUAAAUUGCCGAAAUAAAGACAUGGAUGUUUGUUUGGAUGUUUUGGGAAGUACUUUGGACUUGUUUCUGCACAAAACAUGUCUGCUGGCAGACUUCAUAUGUCCUCUUAGAAAACUCAUAUCUCUCUCAUAUGAGCUCUUUACCUGCUGAAAAUUGGUGAAUCUAUGUCUUCGAGUCAGGAAUCCAAAAAAAUUAAGUUUGCAUCAAAUGGAUUUCUCUAGCUCAAGAUAUUGAAGUCAGAAAGGUCAAAGGUCAACACUGGCAGAAUGCGAGAUUUGUCUUUGAAUGCUGCUAUUUCAAUGCUCUUUCUCUUUCUCUUUUUAUUUUUCUUUCCAUAUAUGUAUAGAAAGGUAUGGAUGUUAGGUUUCUAAUGCCACUAGAAUCACUUCAUUUCGACCUCUAGAGCUCAAGCUCUGAACAAAACAUCGAUUGGAUGUCAUAUCUGCCAAUUAUCUCCAAUUUACUUCUUUUUGAAUCUUACAUCCAAAAGUGCCUUCAAAACAUAAAACAAAGAAUAUCAAGGUAUUUUAUAUAUAAAUCAUAGGUAAAAUACUAGGUAAAUAUGGGUAAAACUAUCGAAUAAUAUGGUUGCAUCAAAUACCCCCACACUUAGUUGUUGCUCGUCCUCGAGAAAAGAGAGAUAAUAUCAAACUUAAAUUACAUAAAUAAAAUAACUAUGACUAAAUUCUUAAUCUCCCAUCAAUGUCCAAGAAUAUAGGCAUUAUAAAGAAUACAAUCAAGAGGGAUAAAAACAUAAAUUUCCAUGAAUUUGUUUACAUGCGAACUUCAAAACUCAAUUAAUCGUUGGGAUUUAAAUGAAAUCUAUGUCAUGCCAAAGUGAUAGGUCCUCUCAUUGAUAUACACUCCAACACUCACGUGUUUAGGGCUUAUGUGUUUGAAUCUCUCAAAUUCAAUCAAUGAAUUUACCAAAUCUAUGCUCUGCACAAAACAUCGAUCGGAUGUCAAAUAUAUCAAUUAUCUCCAAUUUACUUCUUUUUUAAUCUUACAUCCAAAAGUGCCUUCUAAACAUAAAACAAAGAAUAUCAAGGCAUUUUAUAUAAAAACUAUAGGUAAAAUAAUAGGUAAUUAUGGGUAAAACUAUCAAAUAAUAUGGUUGCAUCAGUUAUGUCCUGGAGCAUCAGGAUGAUGCUAAGGCAAGUAAGGGAAUGAUGGAUGCAUGACUAAGGCGGGGAUGGGUGCUACUUCUUCGAUGCUGAGGAGACGUUGGUAUAUUUUUCCUAAGGAUAUGAAAAGUGAGGGAAGUUGUUCAUUGUUUCUUUGCAAGUCAUUUCGGGAGUGAAAUGUUAUUUCAAUUGGAGUAUCUUGCUGGUUCUUUGUGUUGGGUUGACUUUCGCCUGAAUAUGGCAACUCAAUUAGCCUUUUCGGCUAAUGAAGUCAAUAAAACUAGGAUAGACGACAUGUCAUUCAAUCUCUUCAUUAAGAACGAGUGACAUGUAGGGGUGUUCACGGUUCGGUUCGGUUUGGUUUAGACUAAAAAAACCAACCGAACCGAGUUAUAUUAAUUUUAUGAAAUAUCACCCGAACCGGACCGGAAUCUAGUUCAAACCGAACCAGUUCGGUUCGGUUAAAUCCGGUUUUGUUUGGCAAAAAACCAGAAAACCGAAUCCCUUCACAGAUCAAACACUAAUUUUUCCUUGUUUGGAAUUUUAUAUUUCCUGGUAUUAAAAUCUUGAGCUGACAAGCGAGGAACAAUGCAGUUUAGCUAACCAUUCAGAGGAUUUUGUAAUAGAUCCGUCUUUGUUGCAGUAAACAACAAAAGCUAUAAAUUCAUCUUCGGUCAUUAAUCAUUGUUUCCUGUUGAUAUACCUUGGAUCCCUGGGCAAACACCAAGUACUGGGUCAAAAAUUACCUUGUUAUCUUUACUCUACAGGAUCCAUCUCCUUCUACUGUAACUGUAACAACUUGCACAGAAAUAAAGAAGGAUUGUGCAAAAGUAAAGAGAAGAGAAAUUAAGGAGAUGAAGAGAUGAGUUUGUGUUUGGCUCACUUUUGAGAUGGAUGAGAAUCACUUUUGAGAUGGAGAUAAACGUAGAUGAAGAGAUGAGAAUCACUUUUGAGAUGAAGGAGGGAGAGCAAUUGAAAUUUGAAAGGGAAAGGAAGAUUGAGAUAAAUAUUCUCAGGGGUCAAGUGGCGGCUUUUAGGGUUAGGUUUCAGUAUUUAACUAUUUAUACCCCUCUUAAUUUGUAUAGCUUUGGGUUUUUGGUUGGUCCGGUUCGGUUUGUCGGUUUCAGUUUUAAAACCGAAACCGAACCGGACCUAUUAGAAUUUAUGAUUUUGAAAAUUGGUUUAAUCAGUUUUUUUGAAUACCCCUAGUGACAUGUCAUAUAUAUAAAAGUUGUCAUGUAUUCAACAAGGGAGAUGGAACGGAGGAGGAUUCCAGAGCAAGAGUGGAAAAAACUAAGGCUUGGUGUAAGGGUUUAAGAACAAGAAGUUGAGAAGAGUAAAAGAUUAUUCUAUAACCUUCAAGCUUCGAUGGAAAAGGAGGAAUAACGCCGCAAGCAUAAAAAACAAAAAAGGGCAGUAGUGGUUAUUAUUUAAAGGUAUGUACGUAAGUGGUUAGUAAGGCAUGCUUAUAUAAAUCCUUACCAGCCACUACAUUCAUACAGUGUUAUUGGAAGCAAGUGUUAGCAAGAAGAGGAUUCUGAAGGCUUAAACAGCAGGCCUAUAAAACAACCAUUAUUCAUAGUAAAGAUUCGAGGACGAAUCUUAUUGAAGAGAGAGGUAAUGAUACAGUUCAACCAUAGAUUUCUCAUGAAAGGCCUUCAAUUUUGUGCUUGGGUUUGAUGGGGAGGUCAUUCGGCCAAGAUUGUGUUUUUCCUUGGAAUUUAGCUUGUGUUACAUUUAGCCAUGAUAGGUGUAACAUCCCCAUAUCCGGGAUUAAGCAAAUUUUCACUAAAAUUUUGGCAGUCUCCCCUACAUCAGGAGGUCCCAAGUUAUCGACAUUUAACCUGUUUACACUUAUAAUAUUUCACAUCUCAUAACUCAAUAACAACCCAAUCAUCCUGGGUCUCAAUCCCAUAAACAUCAUCGUCAUCACAACCAUAAUAUUUAUAACAUACAUUGAACAACAAAUAUCAUUAUAGAGAAAUAAAUGAGAUAAACAUGUAUACAUGGACACAUACUACAAGAUUUCACAGUUUUACCGACAGAAAUAUUUUGUCGGUGUGUGAUUAGCAGUUCGUCGGUGAUUUAUUUACCGACGUCUUCACCGACAGAUUACGUCCGUCGGCUUUCCCUUCGUCGGUGAUUCCCCAUUCCGUCGCUAUAUCGGUCGGAAACACAAAAAAACCAUUUGCUGAUGGUUUUAAAAACGGAAUUUGCACGCCAAAAAAAAAAGUUUCCCGCUUAAAAUAUACCGACAGAUUUUAUUCCGUCGGUGAUAUCGUGAUUUACCGAUGGCUACGUACCGUCGGUAAAUUUGUCGGUGAGUGUUUGAAAUACCGACCGAAUAUAUCCGUUUGUAAAUUCGUCGGUAAUUGUGGCAGCUAUUGUCAAAUGCCGACAGAUUCAGUCAGUCGGUAAAGCUGUCGGUGAGUGUUUGAAAUACCGACCGAAUAUAUCCAUCUGUAAAUGCGUCGGUGAAUGCUACUGUCAAAUACCGACAGAUUCAUUCCGUCGGUAAAACCCUUUGUAAUAGUUUUUUUCUAAUUUUGUUUUUAAAAUAUUAUUUAGAAUACAUAAUAUAAAAUUAUAUAAAUUAAUGGUAAUAAAAACCAAUUAUGCAAAUAAAAUUUAUAUUAAACAUCAAAAACAAAAAAUCAAAGUUAAAUAAUAUUCAUUACAAACUGAAUGUGUUUCAAAAAUAAAUAUUAAAUGAAAUUUUAAAGGUAAGUAAUGUUUAUUACAAAUUAAUAUAAAGGUGGAGCUGGAGGAGGAGGAGGAGAUCCUGGAGGAGGAGGCUGGUGGUUAUACGGCCAAAAAGGAUUAGGCGCACAUGUUCCACUCUGUGUUGCCAUGUUCAUGACCACUUCGCGAAGCUGUUCAUAAGCCGCUUUUUGUUAUGCAGACUCCGCUCUUUGUUGUUCAUGAGACGCUUUGAGUUGUGUGUACUCCGCUGAUAGGUGGUCGUAUUUUUUGGUGAGCUGAGUCGUGCGUUGCUGCAAGGCCACAAACUCCUUAGAUUGGGAGCUCGAUAUUCAUUGGGAGCUCCCAAUGGUUGAAACACUACGGGUCGUCUGCAAGUUGUCGACCGUAGUGUUGGAGAGCCCGUAAACCCGAUUUUUAUCAGGUCCACCUGAUGAUCCAACCUCCAUCCACAAUUCCGAAUCGAAUUCCGGAUGGGUCAAAAUAUCGUCCCCGUAUCUCUCCCUCAAUCGAUUAUUAUAGGUCUCCUAAAAAUAAAAAAAAGUAAUCAUCAUAUUCAAUUCAAUAAACAUAAUAACUUACAAAAUAAAAUGGUUGAACAAACAUACCAUGAAAUGUUGAGCACGGUAAUCAACGAACUGUUGCGCCCCCUUUUGGUGGUCUUGACUUCGCACGUGUGUCUCCACAAAUAGCUCCAUCGGGCUCGGCUCACGUCCAAGAGACGUAGCCUAUAAUGAAAAAAGAUUUAUUAACAACAACUUAAUUUAACGAUAUAUUUCAUUUAAAUUAAUCUUACCAUCUGUUUCGCAUGUACAACAAACAGAACGGAGCCGCCAGUGUGCGUUGUCACCGAGCCAUGAAUUGGCCCAUUCUGGUUGCCAGCACCGGACUGUAAGCGUCGUGUGAACCGCUCAGACGUCACGUGCUCAAGAUAGUGCGGCCAUAUAUCUUCCGGGAUGUAUAUUGGUUUGAAAUCCCUCCAAACCGCAACAUUGUUCCAUCCUUGGAAACCCCUAUCUCUCGCGGUUUUUUUUGCCCUUUUUUGUGCUUCAUACCAAAAAUCACGCAACCUACUUCACGCAACCAAAAAUUACAUUUCAAAACAUAAAUUUUUGUCUAAAAAAAUCUUGUAUUGUUUCGAUGUUACCUAGUUGCCGCGUGAUUUUCCCACACCCUCCUCGCAAUAGUGUUAUGCUCACUGUCCCAGCAGAAUUUGUCCUGUGUAUAAAUAAUUAAUUUUAAAUAAAAAUAAUAAUUUAUUUACAAUUAUAUUAAUAAUUUAUUAGAAAUAAGCUGAAAAUUAUAAAUUAACACCAACCUCAAAUCUAUCAAACCAUGCAUUGAUUUGAGGCAUCCAUUCAGGAUGCUUGGAUAUCUGACUCCAUUGAAACAAUGGAAUCUCCAUCGACGAUUUAAACGCCAAUGAUAUUACUCGGGCGGCCUCAAUGUUUGUGAACUUGAAAAUAAAUGAAAUAAAUUCAAUAGUGAUUACUUCAUAAAUUAUGUUGAAAUUUGUUUUUUAAAAAAAACUAAAACCUUAACAAACUUACAUUGAAAGGUCGUCCUUCCACUGUGCCUCGUACUUGCGGGUAAAUUGAUUCCGCUGCGAAGGCACGCCGCCUCUGCGCUGUGAAGUAGCGCUGGAAGAGGCAGUAUCGGUUGACGGCACAGGUGGUGUAGGUGCCUCUUUUUGAGAGGCACCUAAGGAAAUAUCAUCCUCGCUGCUAGACGUUAACUAGCUGCGACCAUACAUGAGCGACCAGCUCUGGUUUUCAUUCUACGCAACUACACAAUUUUAUACAAAUAAUUAUAUAAUUAAAUUCAAAUGUUAAAAAAAAAUUCGACAGCACCUCCCCUAUACUGGAUACUACCCAAAUCCACAAACCUGCACAUAUUAACAAUAGCCACAAUCAUUUGACCCAAUCUAUACUAAUUAUUCCAACAUAUUCAAUUACUAAUCCUAAGGUAAAUUCAACAUUAAGAAUUACAAUUCGACAAAUUAUUCAAUAAUUAUGCCAAUACAACAAUAAAAUAUAUUCAAUAAAUAAAUAAAAAAAACUCUAGACUAACAAUUAAAAUUAAUGGAAAAAAUUAAACAUAAAUCAUGCAAUAAUAGAGUAAAAUUAACAAUUAUUUCAAAAUAUUCAAUUACUAAUACUAAGGUAAAUUCAACAUUAACAAUUACAAUUCAAAAAAUUAUUCAAUAAUUAUGCCAAUACAACAAAACAAUAAAUUCAAAAAAAACUCUAGACUAACAAUCAAAAUAAAUGGAAAAAAUUAAACACAAACCAUGCAAUAAUAGAGUAAAAUUAAUAAUUAUUCCAACAUAUUCAAUUACUAAUUCUAAGGUAAAUCCAAUAUUAACAAUAAAUAUUCAACAAAUUAACUAAUAAUAAUUAUGCCAAUACAACAAUAAAAAAUAUUCAAUAAAUUCAAAAAAAAAACUAUAGACUUUAGGAAUCAAAUAUGCUUACUUUAAUAAUGUGUCGAAUUCAAUACUUUAUCUACAUUACAAAAAAUACACCAAAACAAAAAACAUAACAAAAAAAAAUAGCAAAAAAAAAACCCCUAAAGUAAAAUGAAAUAGAAGAAACACAUACGUUUUAAACUGAUGAAGAUUCAUAAGAAAACUUGCUAGAGAUUGUAGGUGAAACUUUUGCUUACCUGAUUGAAGGCCAAACACAAUGUCACCGUACUCUGAUACAACAUCAUGCAAUUCUUCACCAAAAAGACGCGGGGAUGCAACAUCGUUUUCAACUCUGCCAACAAAGAAAUCUUUUCUGUUCUUUCUAUACCUGUGAUUAAGUGGCAAGAAGCGACGGUGACAGUAAAAAAAAGAAGCUUUACCUCCGUUUGCUAGCGUGAAUGCCUUGUUGUUUUCCAUGCAGUAUGGACAUGCGAGUUUCCCAUGCGUGCUCCAACCAUAAAGCAUUCCAUAAGUUGGAAAAUCAUUGAUAGUCCACAUCAAAGCAUCCCUCAUAAGAAAAAUUUGUUUCCUCGAUAUAUCAUAAGUCAGAGCUCCGGAGGACCACAACUGCGCCAACUCAUCAAUCAACGGUCGAAGACAAACAUCUAUAUUCCACCCCGGGCUGCUUGGACCGGGUAUGAUAGUAGAUAAAAACAUGAACUCCGACCUCAUACACAUUCCCGGUGGCAAGUUAUAAACUAUAAGUAUGACUAGCCAACAAGAAUAAGGAGCAGCAAAUGACCCAAAUAGGUUGAAUCCGUCUGUACACAACCCAAGAUGCACAUUCCUUAAUUCAGCUGAAAAGUGAGGAUGAACACUGUUAAAGCGUUUCGCCGUCAAAAGGAUGCACCAUCACUCCAUCAACCGCAUCAUGUGCUUGGUGCUAUGUGAUAUGCUCAGCAGUCCUUGGUGACAUGAAUAACCUCUGCAGUCUAGGUGUGAUCGGGAAGUAUCUAAGUUUUUUAUAUGCCACUAGAGUCUUUCCCCUGCCAGUUUUAGGUUUGUAAUGGGAAUGCCUGCAUGUCAUGCACUCGAUCAUCUCAGCAUUUUCAAGGUAGUAUAACAUGCAGAAAUUAGGGCACAUGUCAAUUUUCUGGUAUCCUAAACCGAGGGGUUUCAUCAUAGACUUCGCAGCAUAGAAGUUCUCUUUCAGUCUGUUCCCUCAGGUAAAAUGCUUCUCGCCCAUUCAAUAAUCUUGUCAUACCCGGCCUCACUUAACCCGUGAUCUGACUUGAUGGUGAACAUCUGUGCUAUGGCCGAUAAUUUACUGUGGUUCGUGCAGCCAUCCCAUAAUGGUUCGUCAGAAUCUUUCAACAAAUCAAAAAACCUAGCUGCAUCUGCAUUAGGUUCUUCUUCUACGAUUGGACAUUGACUGACAUUACCUUGAUUCAUUCUCAUUGCAUCCAUAACCAUAUUUCUGUAAGGAUUAGUGUUGUCAUUUGCCGCUUCAUGCACGUUGUUAGCACUAGAAGUAGACCCAACCACCGUUUCUCCCAUUCUCCUCUUACUAACAAAUACUUCUCCAUAUGCAUACCAACACUGGUAAUUCUCUAUAAACCCUUUGUGUAGAAGAUGCAUCAUUACAACAUCUGGAUGCAGAUAUUUUUUAUUUUGACACUUCCUACAUGGACACCUAAUACCGCCUCCAGCAAAAUUUCCGGGAAUAGAUGUUGCGAAAUUAAUAAAACCCUGAACCCUGUUACAAUAAUCAAUCCUCCGCAAUCCUUGGGGUGAAUCUCGAUACAUCCAUGAACGAUCAUCCAUGACUUAUAUCGAACCUCUAUAAAAUUAUGAUGACAUCAUGUAUUAAUUAACUAAGUUAGGUAAAUAAACUUGCAAAAAUAUUACUUUACCUCGAGAUUAUCCAACAAACCAAUCACAACUUCUCAUAAAUAUUAAAUAUUCAUUAUCAUUUAUCAACGUCCAUACAAAUUAAUAUAUAUAAAUUUAUGGAAAUUACCAGUCCGCAAUACCAUUGAUAAAACUUUAAACGGACUCAUUAAGCAAGCUAUUAAUUAUUUCAAAAUAGCACAUGUAAUUCGGUAAUUCCAUAAAGUUUUAACAAUUUACAAACAAAUACAAUCUUACAAAAUCUAAAACAAACCAUAACAGGUAUAGAAUUAUACAUUCAUAUACUACAAGUUUGUUUGAGAAAUAACAAUAAAACAUGUACAUCUACUAACAAAAUACAUAUACUAAAAAAACAAUAAAAUUGACAUUUAAAUGUUGAAAUUUAAAAAGAUAGAAUUACUUAAAAAAAUUGAUAAAAUCCGUCGGUAAAUCAGAACACGAAUGCUGUGACCACAAAACUUCAAGAAAUAUAACUUAUUGUGCUGAGAUAAGGGAGAUUUUUGUUUAGGGGGAGGAGGGGGGUCUGGUUGUUUGCAGAUGGGGAGAGUUGGGAUUAGGAAGAAGAAGAAGAAAUAGGGGAGGAGAGGAUCGGCAGAGAGGGCAUAUAUUAACUUUUUUCGACGAUUUCCCCAACGGCCAAUCCGUCGAUGAUUCCGUCGGCUAUUCUGACGGAAAAAUUGACAUGUCACCGUACGGAUCUGCCAUUUCGAAUCCCUUAGUGAUUCUGUCGGCAUUUCAAGCGGUGAACCGGUCACGUCACCAUACGGAUCUGCCAUUUCGAAUCCCUCGGUGAUUCCGUUGCCAUUUUAAACGGCGAAUCGGUCACGUCACUGUACAGGGCUGUCGUUUUGAAUCCAUCGGUAAAAAUAACCCCGCCAAAACCUCCACGUCAGCUACCCGUUUUUUAUUUUAAUUCGGAACGUUUUCUGUCUGUAAUUCAGUCGAUAACUACCGACGAACACUUGCCAUCGGUAGUUACCGACUGAAUUACGGACGGAAAAGUUUUCAUUGGUAAUUUCGACCUCAAAUUACCGACAGAAAUAUUCCGUCGGUAAAUCCGUUGCUAUUGAGCAAAUUUCUGGUAGUGACAUUCAUAUGAAAUUCAGAGUUAAGAUUAUCUAUUCAAAUUUAAACAUUGAUUAUACAAAUUAAGUUAUAUAAAAGUUGUAAUAUUACAAAAUACAAGGGUAUACUCCCUAGAACCUAGAAUUACAAAAAGUGAACAUAAGCUAGGAUCUACUCCUAUCAUGCAUGCGAGGGUCCCAAAACAAAAUACAUAUUAUUGAAACAUGAAUAUUGAUUAGUACUUCAAAGUGCAUUCUUAUUAAGACUUUAUAUCAUCAUAUUGCACUUAAAGUAUCAUUAAAUUUCCUAACUUAAGCAUGUUUUAUAAUAACAAGUCUGAUAGUAUAAGAUAACUUUAAUUUAUGGUAAAUGCUCAUUUUAAAUGCAGGCAUAUGUCACAAUUCAAAGGAUUGAUUGAUGUGAGUAACUAUUGAAAGUGAAAGGACAAAGAAAGGGCUAAGCUUAGAAAAGAGAUGCUGGUUCAAUUCAAACUAGAAUACUAUUUAGUCAUUGGUCCAUAUCUGGAGCUGUAGAUAUUGGAUUUUAGUCUGGUUUAUAUGGCUAAAAAGCUAAGACAUAGACCUAAAACAUUCAUGAAGAGUCCAAGACUUAAGUAUUAUGUUUUGGAGUCCAAAUCUUAGCAGAAAAGGAGAAGUCUGAAUCUGUCCUGCAGCACAAACACUAUUCAGUGUUCAGUCCAUAUCUCGGGUUCUAGAAGUCCAAAUAAGCUCAUUCUUCUUUUGAUGGAAAGCUGAGACAGAUUCCUACAACUUUCAUAAAUACUACUUUGCAAAAUUCGAAAUGUAGAAAUGUCAUUUCAUUGAGAAACAAAUCCAUACCAAAACCACCAAGUCCACUAAGUUAUUAGUUGGCCACUAAUUCAAUAGUUAAUUACCAAAUGAAUAGUUCCUUUUGGCCUAUAAAAGAAGGCAUUUUCCAUUCAUUUAGGCAUCUCGGUUUUCAGAUCAAGAUCAUUUUCUUGCUUUCUCUCUUUGUAAUGUUCAAGUUUUCUUUCAUGUUAUAUUAAUCUCUUGUUUAUGCUUUUCAUUUCCUUUAGUACUCUUAGUUAACUUAUAUCAUAAUUAUGUUCUUAUCUUGUUUAUUUAUGUUCUUCUUCUUCAUCAUGUCUAGCUAAAUUAAUUAUGUCAAGGGGAAAAGGUUUCACUAAUGGUGUUAGAAUAUGUAUAAUAUAAACUCAACAUGUACUUCAAUGUUUAUAUCCAAUAAAGUUUGUUAUUAAUAUGUCUUAUCUUUUUAUCUUACUAGUUCUUAAUAGCUUACUUGUUAAAUGAUUAAUCUAGAUUUGUGUUGUAUAACACUUGGUAAAAUAAAUGUUUGAUCCUUCAUAGUCUUUGACCGACAUCGUUGCUUUGAGAGGAACUUGAUUUGACAUAAGUUAGCAUCAUGAAUUCCUGACAAUAUUUAAAAGUAUGGUGUUACUAAAAUAAGAUAAUUAAUAUGAUCAUGUUAAAAAUUUAUAAUGAAUAAAUCAUUCGAUUGGAACCUCCUUUGUGUGUGGUUUCUAGUUGAGUAAUAAAAAGAGUUUACACUAUACUUAUUUCUAAUACUAUUAGUGGAUCCUCUAACCUUGACAAUUGUUUUUAUCAUUGUUUAAUCCUCAUAUUAAUCUUACAUCUCAAAUUUCUAUUUAAUUCUUUGUUUUAUUAUAUAUAUAUAUAUAUAUAUAUAUAUAUAUAUAUUAUUUGUAAUUUAUAUAGUUGACCUCCUUGUGGAUCGACCCUGGUCUUACCGGGUUAUUUAUUACAUUGACACUCCUGCACUUGGUAUAAGACAUCAACUCUUUGAUCGUGUCAAGUUUUUGGCACCGUUGCCGGAGAGGUAAGUUAUUGUAUAAAUUAUAUAUUUUAUUUUUCUUUUCACUUUUAUAGUUUUUCUAAUUUUUGUUUCUUCCUUUUCUUUUUCUUUUCUUCUUUUUUUUCUGCACUUGCAUGAGAGUUUGGUCAUGCACAUUAAGUGGUAGACUUUGUAGCAAAUCUUCAUCUUUAUUUGAAAACAUGGCCGAAGAGGAUAAUCAGUCACUUCAUAAUGUGAAUAAUCGUUUUAGAACACUUAGAGACCACAUGAAUCCAACAACAAAAAUUGUACCAUCAUGUAUAGUUUUUCCUCCUGAUGCAUCUCACUUCAAUUUUAAGCCAGACAUUAUUCAACUUUUACCUACUUUUCAUGGCUUAGAUCUAGAAAAUCCAUACUUGCAUUUGAGAGAAUUUGAAGAGGUUUGUAACACUUAUAAUGACUUAAAUUGUAGCAUGAACACCAUCAGAUUAAAGCUUUUUCCUUUUUCAUUAAAAGAUAAAGUUAAAACAUGGCUACAAAAUCUUAAUCCAUUCAUGCUUGGGAUGAAAUGCAACAAUAAUUUUUGAAGAAGUUUUUUCCUUCUCAUAGAACAAACUCUUUCAAAAGAAAUCACCACUUUCACUCAAAAACUAGGAGAAACAUUUUACCAGUGUUAUGAUAGGUAUAGAAACUUGCUUAAUACUUGUCCUCAUCAUGGUUUUGAAACAUGAAGAUUGGUUUCACAUUUUUAUGAAGGGUUAACACCUAAAAAUAGGCAAAUUGUGGAAUUGAUGUGCAAUGAAACUUUUGAAAAUAAAGACCCUGAUGAAGCAAUGGAGUACCUAGACUUGUUAGUCGAAAAUGCUCAAAAUUAGGACACUACAGGCACUUGUGAGGCAACAGGUAAAACUCAACCUCAUACAUCUAGUGGAGGAAUGCACAACUAUAGGGAAGAUCGUGACCUCAAAGCCAAAUUUGCAUCUUUAGCUAGAAAAGUCGAGGCACUUGAAUUUAAAAAGAGUGAUCAAUUAAAAUCUGUUCAAGACAUUGUGUGUCAAAUCUGUGAAACGAAUGAACAUUCAACCAAUGAUUGUCCGACUUUGCCUUCUUUUAAGGAAUGUCUCUAUGAACAGGCCAAUGCUUUAAAUAGUUUCCAAAAGCCAAAUCAUAACCCAUACUUGCAAACAUACAACCCUGAUUGGAGAAAUCAUCCAAAUUUUAGUUGGAAGAGUGGUAACAAUAAUGCACAAACUUCACAACCACCAUUUCAAGCCCACCAUAAUUUUCAAAAUUCUCAAGGAUAUGCACCUCCUUAUGCUCCCCCUCCUAGAAGAAAUCUUGAGGAAACAUUGCAUGCAUUCAUUAAAAAGCAAGAGACAAUCAACACUCAAUAUGCUCAAACCAUAGCAGAUUUAAAAGAUACUUUUGCAAAAUUCACAUCUGCUCUUAGUUUUAAGGAGAAAUGUAAGUUUCCAUCUCAACCACAACAAAAUCCCAAAGGGCAAUACAAUCCAAGUAGCUCCGGAAGCUAACACAUGGAUCAAGUCAAAUCAGUCAUUACUCUCCGUAGUUGUAAGGUUAUUGAAAAACCCAUUCUUAAACCUUGUGAGAAAGAAGAUGAGUUAGUCUUUGAAGGUAAGGAAGGGGUUGAACCUGAACAUUGCAAAGAAAAGACUGAUUCCCACCAGCACUUCCAUUUCCUCAUGCCAUGACCAAACAAAGGAAAAUCAAUCACAAUUCUCAAAUCUUUGAAACUUUCAAACAGGUAAGGAUCAAUAUACCUUUAUUGGGUGCUAUUAAACAAGUACCUUCUUAUGCUAAAUUUUUGAAAGACUUAUUCACUGUGAAGAGAAAACUGAAUGUGAAAAAGAAAGCCUUUUUAGCCGAACAAGUAAGUGCCAUUCUUCAAAAAAAUAAUGCUCUGAAAUAUAAAGACCAUGGUUGUCCUAUAAUUUCAUGCUUUAUUGGAGAACAUAAAAUUGAAAGAGCUUUACUUAAUCUUGAAGCUAGUGUGAAUUUACUUCCAUAUUCGAUUUUUCAAAGUCUCAAUCUAGGUGAGUUAAAAUCAAAUUCUGUAACUCUUUUACUUGCUGAUAGAUCUGUAAAGGUGCCUAGAGGAAUAGUUAAAGAUAUGUUAGUACAAGUUGAUAAAUUCAUUUAUCCUGUGGAUUUUGUUGUCUUGGAUACACAGCCUGUUAAAGCAUGUAAUUCAAUUCCAGUUAUUUUAGGAUGUCCAUUUCUUGCAACCUCUAAUGCAUUGAUUAAUUGUAGGAAUGGACUGAUGAAGUUAUCUUUUGGAAACAUGACAUUAGAGAUGAAUAUUUUUAACAUUUGCAAGCAACCUGGAUAUGAUAAUGAUUUACAAGAAGUAGAUCUCAUUUAAGAUUAGUUUAUGAUCAAUUUGAAGCUACUUUGAGUAAAACUGACUUCAAUGAAUCUGAAGAUUUGCAAAUGAUUUAUUCUUAGGAAGAAGUCAGGGACCAGAAAGGCACCGAAAAUGUUGUUGCGAAUCAUUUGUCAAGAUUGACAAAAGAUUCUACAUCUGACAUCUCACAAAUCAAUGAUUACUUUCCUGAUGAAUCUUUACCUUUUAUUUCUACAAUGCCUUGGUUUGCUAAUAUUGUCAAUUUUCUUACAACAGGAGAUUUGCCAGCUUAUUGGAGUACCCAAGACAAAAGAAAGUUUUUGAACGAAGUGGAGAACUUUUAUUGGGAUGACCCUACUUAUUCAAAUAUUAUCCUAAUCAAAUAUUUCGAAGAUGCAUUCCCGACAAUGAGGUAAAUAGUGUUAUUAAAUUUUGUCAUUCUGAGGCAUGUGGGGGUCAUUUCUCAACAAAGAAGACGACUGCAAAAAUCUUACAAUGUGGAUUUUAUUGGCCCACCAUUUCAAGGACACGCAUGCAUUCUGCAAAACUUGUGAAAAUUGUCAAAAGUUAGGAUCUAUUUCAAAACGUCACAUGAUGCCUUUAAAUCCUAUUAUUGUCAUUGAAAUCUUUGAUUGUUGGGGUAUAGAUUUCAUAGGUCCAUUUUCUCCAUCAUUUGGUUUUGUGUACAUAUUAGUCACAGUAGAUUAUGUUUCAAAAUGGAUAGAGGCAAUUCCAAGUCGAAACAAUGAUCAUAAAACAGUGAUCAAGUUUUUGAAAGAAAAUAUUUUGAGUCGGUUUGGAAUCUCUCGAGCCAUGAUAAGUGACGGUGGAACACAUUUCUAUAACAAACCAUUUGAGUCUUUAAUGAAGAAAUAUGGAAUCACACACAAAGUUGCCACCCCUUAUCAUCCUCAGACAAGUGGACAAGUAGAACUUGCUAAUAGGGAGAUCAAACAAAUCUGGAAAAAACAGUGAACCCUAAUCGGAAGGACUGGUCUUUAAGACUUAAUGAUGCAAUUUGGGCUUAUCGAACUGCUUUUAAAACAACAUUAGGUAUGUCACCUUAUAGGUUGGUUUAUGGAAAAUCUUGUCACUUGCUUGUGGAACUUGAACAUAAAGCUUAUUGGGUUAUCAAAACUUUUAAUUCAAAACUUGAUGAUGCUGGCCAGCUGCGUAAGUUACAAAUAAAUGAGCUUGAGAAAAUAAGAAAUGAUACAUAUGAGAAUUCAAAAAUUCAUAAAGCAAGAAUCAAAGAGUUUCAUGACAAGAGAAUCUUGAGAAAAACGUUUGAUGUUGGUCAAAAAGUUUUGCUUUAUAAUUCUCGACUCCACUUAUUUCCUGGAAAGCUAAGAUCAAGAUGGAGCGGUCCAUUUAUUGUGAAACAUGUGUAUCCUUAUGGGGCCUUUGAUAUUGAGAAUCCGAAGAAUGACAAUGUCUUUAAGGUAAAUGGACAUCGUUUGAAAACUUACUUUGAUAAUUUUCCUAGUGAAGAUGAGUCCAUUGGUUUGGGUGAUCCUGUUUAUAAAGAUUGAUUAUUUUGUUUUUCUAACAUUGUUUUUGUGUUUCUUUUUGGUGUGACUUUUGUUUUGAUAGUCUUUCUCCAACCCCAGUCAAAUGGCGGAUAACAGUACUCCAUGACUUUUAAGUCGGUUCUUUCGGUUUCCCAUGAUAACUGAUAUCUGUGUAUAUAUUUGUUCAAUUCCUUGCUCCUUCUUUUUUCUCUACAUCUCUUCUCCACUUCUCAUUUGAAAAUGAAAACCACUCUUGAAAAACUAAAAAAAUAUUUUCCUGUUUUGCCUCAAAAUAUGAUUACAAAAAUUUACCGUGCUAGGUGUGAAAGAUUGAGGUUGUUAAUGAACCAUAGAAUUCCUAAAGAUAUUUGCUGGCUAAUUGAGUCUUUCAAUUCUUUUUUUUUGCACAUGCCUGGAAUAGGUAAAAGCACUUUUGCAAAGAAACAUCGUGCAAAACCACUGAAAGUCUGUCACAGAUGUGCAAGAUGGACUUGUAAUACACAAUGUCGUUCUUUAGGAAUGGUAUUUAUAAAUUGUGAAGAUAAAAUACAAUUCAUUAAGGAUGGCCUGAGUAAGGAGUCUUUAGUUAAUCUUCUAUUAACUCUUGAGACGCAUUCUAGUGGAGAUGUGCAUCGUGCAAUUCAUGAUUUAUGGCCCCAUUUUCAUAAAGAACAUGAUCGGCAUAGUCUUGGGAAUCUAACUAAAAAAGACCAUGUUUGUCAGUUUUUAAUAAAACUAGAUGGGAAGCUUAUCCCUGACCUAUAGAGGGCGUUUAAGCCGUUCUUGGAUGUAAAACCAAGGGAAGAUGUGAGCCACAAUCACAACUACUUGUACAUACACAUGUUCUAAAAAAAAAAAGACUCCAGCUAGCCUAUAUAUAGGUGGUAUGAUUGCAUUUUUAAUUUCUCAUCUAUAAAAUCUUCUCUUCCUUCCUUUUAUUUCUAUUCAACCCAUACAUUUAACAGAUACAGAAGUGUGUAGAAAUGGCAGGUUCCUCAGGUUAUCAAAUAAAAAAUAUUUGUGUUUUUUGUGGAUCCAGUCCUGGGAAAGAAAAUGAGUUUUUAGAAUCAUCAAAUCAUCUUGGUCAGGUACUAGCUGAGAGAAAUAUUCAUUUAGUGUAUGAGGGAGGCAACCUUAGGUUAAUUGGGAGUGUGUCAACAGCUGCAUUUUUAGGAGGCAGUCAAGUUUUGAGUGUCAUUCCAAAAGCUUUAGCCAAAGUGGAUCUCAUUGGAAAAACAAUUGGAGAGGAACUGCAGGUCUCCACAAUGUCUAAACGAAUGGAUACAAUGUUUGAUCAAGCUGGCGCCUUCAUUGCCUUACUAGGUUGUCUGGGCACAUUAGAAGAGAUAUUUCAUAUUUUCUCUUGGGCCCAACUGAACAUUCACCAUAAACCUAUAGGUUUGCUAAAUGUUAAUGGUUUUAUAUGAUCAUUUGUUAUCUUUUCUUGAUCAUGUUGUGGAACAUAAUUUUCUUACAUCUUCGGCACGACAAAUCAUAAUCUUUGUUGCUACUGCUGAACAAUUGAUUAAUCAAUUGCAAGCUUUCAUCCCUGUAAUUGAUUCCUCCAUUAGUCGAAUAGACUGGUCAAAUAGGGAAAGCCGUAAAAAGCUUAGAUUGGAUUUGAGCCUUAAUUUGAAAAAACUUGUGUCUUUUGAUUUUCUUAAUAACAUAAUAUUUUUUUCUGUUUUGUUAUUUCUUAUUUUUAUUUAAGUGUGUUUCAGGUUUGUCAGUAGUCGCUCCUUUAAGUGAUGUCUUCUAUACUCUACCUUUCUACCUUAAAACAUUGAGGACAAUUUCUCAUUUUGGUUGAGGGGAGAGGGUAGUAGUCGUAAGUUAAAAAAAAACCUUUUUGUUGUUAUUAAAACUAUUUGAUGAAACUUUUUGUUGUUAUUGUUAAGAUGGUAGAGUAAGGAGUAUUGACUCUUGAGACGCAUCUUAGUAAACAUUCAUAACAAGGUCUAUCACACACUUCUUGAAAUAUUCAGAUUUACAAACUCUCGCAUUGUUAUUACUUGAUUCUGCUCAUAUACUCAUUUAACAAGUAUUUAUAAACCUUCAUUUUCACACACACACUUUAACAUAUGAUUGUGGGUUGCACAUUGGAUUAUUUCAUUAUUUAUGUUCUUUUGUUAAGAUAACAACUAAGGGAAAUGGAUAGUAUAUAAUUUGCAAAAAAAAAGGGUAAUAAAUAUAAUAAAAUAAAUAAAUAAAAAUAUAGAUAAGUUUGGUUUUGUAGCCUCCCUAGCCUAAGCAAUUAAGCGCGAAGGGGUGUUUUAACACCUAAUACCCUAAAGUCAACUGACUUAGGAGUUAUUGGCCCAGUGCUUGUUACAUGGGUUGAGGAGAAAAGCUUAAGGGAAUCAAACAUUGCACUAUCUACAUUUUAGUAUCUGUAACCCGAGUUACUAAGCUCGUAGGGGUGUCUCAACACCUAAUGCCCUAAGACUAACUGGUCUGGGAGUCAUUAGCCUAAAGUUCAUUACAUGAGUUAAAGAUGCAUUGUGUUUUAAGUUAUAUGUAUAUAUAUAGAUAUAAAAAAAGAUAAUAAUCACAACCCAAGGAAGUUAACCUUAGAAAAACAUUAGAACAAAAUUGUGUUUUCUUCCAAGUAAAGCCCCAUAACUAUGUGUUGAUAUAUUAAGCAUAAAAGAAAGAUUUAUUAAUAUCUUGAUUAAGAAGUAUGAAGCAGAUAUAUAAAUUUAAUGAGAGUUUGUUUAUUUGAAAAGAUUAAUGGAAGUUAAAUGAUGAAUGUCUUGUUUUCAUAAUUUUGUAAAUUGUUUUUCUACUUUAACGCUUUAAUUACUAGAGACUAGUAAUAAGCCGGUUGGGGGGUGUGAUUAGUACUUAAAAGUGCAUUCUCAUUAAGACUUUAUAUCAUCAUAUUGCACUUAAAGUAUCAUUAAAUUUCCUAACUUAAGCAUAUUUUAUAAUAACAAGUCUGAUAGUAUAAGAUAGCUUUAAUUUAUGGUAAAUGCUCAUUUUAAAUGCGGGCAUAUCUCACAUUUCAAAGGAUUGAUUGAUGUGAGUAACUAUUGAAAGUGAAGGGACAAAGAAAGGGCUAAGUUUAGAAAAUAGAUGGUGGUUCAAUUCAAACUGCAAUAUUAUACAGUCAUUUGUCCAUAUCUGGAGCUGUAGAUAUUGGAUUUUAGUCUGGUUUAUAUGGCUAAAAAGCUAAGACAUAGGCUUAAAACAUUCAUGAAGAGUCCAAGACUCAAUUAUUCGGUUUUAGAGUCCAAAUCUUAGCAGAAAAAGAGAAGUCUGAAUUUGUCCUGCAGCCUAGACACUAUUCAGUGUUCAGUCCAUCUCGGGUUCUAGAAGUCCAAAUGAGCUCAUUCUUCUUUUGGUGGAAAUCUAAGACAGAUUCCUACAACUUUCAUGAAUACCACUUUGCAAAAUUCAGAUUGUAGAAAUGUCAUUUCGUCGAGAAACAAAUCCAUAUCAAAACCACCAAGUCCACUAAGUUAUUAGUUGGCCACUAAUUUAAUAGUUAAUUACCAAAUGAAUAGUUCCUUUUGGCUUAUAAAAGAAGGCAUUUGCCAUUCAUUUAGGCAUCUCGAAUUUCAGAUCAAGAUCAUUCUCUUGCUUUCUCUCUUUGUAAUGUUCAAGUUUUCUUUCAUGUUAUAUUAAUCUCUUGUUUAUGCUUUUCAUUUCCUUUAGUACUCUUAGUUAACUUAUAUCAUAAUUAUGUUCUUAUCUUGUUUAUUUAUGUUCUUCUUCUUCAUCAUGUCUAGCUAAGUUAAUUAUGUCAAGGGGAAAAGGUUUCACUGAUGGUGUUAGAAUAUGUAUAAUAUAAACUCAACAUGUACUUUAAUAUUUAUAUCCAAUAAAGUUUGUUAUUAAUAUGCCUUAUCUUUUUAUCUUAGUAAUUCUUAAUACCUUGUUAAAUGAUUAAUCUAAAUUUAUAUUGUAUAACACUUGGUACAAUAAAUGCUUGAUCCUUCAUAGUCUUCGACCGACAUCGUUGUUAUGAGAGGAACUUGAUUUGACAUAAGUUAGCAUCAUGAAUUCCUGACAAUAUUUAAAAGUAUGGUGUUACUAAAAUAAGAUAAUUAAUAUGAUCAUGUUAAAAAUUUAUAAUGAACUAUUAAGGAUAAAUCAUCUGAUUGGAACCUCCUUUGUGUGGUUUCUAGUUGAGUAAUAAAAAGAGUUUAUAUUAUAUUUAUUUAUAAUAUCAUUAGUGCAUCCUCUAACCUUGACAAUUGUUUUUAUCAUUGUUUAAUCCUCACAUUAAUCUCACAUCUCAAAGUUCUAUUUAAUUCUUUGUUUUAUUAUAUUAUAUAUAUAUUAUUUGUAAUUUAUAUAGUUGACCUCCAUGUGGAUCGACCCCGGUCUUGCCGAGUUAUUUAUUACAUUGACACUCCUGCACUUGGGAUAAGACAUCAACUCUUUGAUCGUGUCAAAUUUAAAAAGGCAAACAUGCAUUCAUAUUUUAUUCACUUCUCCCUUCUGAUUUUCAUUGGAAACUCUUUCUCAUUCAACUACUAAAAAUCGUUUCCUCUUCCAUUAUCAACCUCUAUUCAAAAUUUCAUAAGAUCAACCAUGAUUAUUUCCGCUUAACACAUUACCGAUACCAAUUUCACUAGUAUCAUCAUCACCCCGUAGGAGUUGAUGCAAGGUGAUCCUAACAUACAUUAAAUGUAUGCUAGCCAAUACAUGGUGAUCCCCUUACCCGGGAUCCUAAAAUAUACUAAAUAUAUGUUAGCCAAUACAUGUGGAUCCCUUUACCCGGGAUCCUAACAUACAUUAAAUGUAUGUUAGUCCAAACAUGACGAUCCCCUUACCUGGGAUCCUAACAUAUACUAAAUGUAUGCUAGUCCACGCCCCAUAUCACACUUCUCAUAUUUUCGUUGUUAGCGAUAAUUUCAUCACUUAACAAUUCACACAACAACAUUUCACCUCGAAUCACAUACAUUCAGAAUACUAUCCAAAAUAUCGACAGCAUUACACAACUUUCCUCCUUUCACAUAAUAUCCAACAUUCAAUAAUUUCACAUUUCAUAUCAAUAACAUAUUAAAUUAUGGAACUUAAUUAGAAAGUAUAGGUGCGGAUCACCUACCUGCAGUAGAAGCUCUACUCGUGCUCCCUUGCUGCUGCUGCUACACCACACCUAUGCUCCCUCUUGAAAUCACAAGCUUAUCUCUUAAAUUUUUCUCAUUCAGGAAUAUGUUUUAUAAUAAUCAUAUCAACAGCUAAUAUGUCUUUCUUUCAAUCAUUUUUAUUUUUUUUCUUUAUAUUUUAUGUUUUUCUCAUUACACCUAUUAAUAUUGUCAUUCUUUGUCCCACCAUAGUUAUCAUUCCUUUUUUUAUAUUUGAACUGUUACUGUUUAAAUCUCGAACUGUUACUGUCCAACUGUUAUGUCUAGACCUUAGACUAUUACUAUCUAACCGUUUUUGUCCAACUGUUACUGUCUUGAACUGUUACUGUAUUGAACCGUUACUAUCUAGACAUUGAACUGUUAUUGUCUAGACAUUGGACUGUUACUGUCUUAAGCUAAUACUGCCUAGACAUUGAACUAUUACUAUCUAGCCAUUGGACUGUUACUGUCUAACCGUUACUGUCUUGAAUUGUUACUGUCUUGAACUGUUACUGUCUAGACAUUUGACUAUUACUGUCCAACCAUUACUGUCUUGAACUGUUACUAUUCAACCGUUACUAUCUUGUCUUGUUAUUGUAUUGAACUGUUACUGUCUAGACAUUGGAUGGUUACUGUCUACAGAGGUUGCAUUCCGACCUCUUCUUAGAUUUUUAACUAUAUCCGGAGUUCUAAGACUCCGUUUCAAGCGAGGUUAGUCGCGUUGGAAAGCUAAAAUAUGGGGAUAUAAGUCCCUUGAAGGAAGGUGCACCCGGUUUUGCCUCCAAGACAGUCAAAAUUGCUCAUCAACGAAUCAGACCUACUGCCCUAUAGGGCCUGUCGUGAUCCAGUCUCGGUUAGUGACCCAUAACUGGAGUUCUAUAGCUCCAAAUUGAGCAAGAACAAUUUUCUUAGUUAGUCAACAUCCAAAACUAUAAUUUCUAUGCGGGAACCUAUUCCUAAUUCCUUCAUCCUCCUACCCAAAAUCUCAUCGAAAGUUAGGAGAUGAGCCUGCCCAGAUUUGUCACCCCUUCCAUUCACACAUAACAUUCACAAACUACAUUUUCUGGGUAAAUUAUCAUGGUUUCAUGUCCCAAUCAUAUACAACACAUGAAUUAACUUAAUUUUAACAUCUAUUACAUUUUCCCCAAUUCAACUCUAAGAACCCUAAUCUCUAAUUCAACAUCAAGGCAUCAAUUCAUAAUCGAAUUUGAAAUGACUUAUAGAACCAUGAUUAGAACAUCUUACCCGGUAAGAAUCAAGGUUUCGAUCUUCAACCAAUCGAAGAUUUUCGACUCCCCCUUUUCCUAUGGAUAGUCGACACUCCCCUCCCUCUUUUGUUCAAAAUUUUCUUGUUAAUUCCUUGCCCCUAAGUGUUUAUUCUACAUAUAAACCCUUGAUCUUGGAUGGGUUCUUGAAAUUUGGUGUUUCUCUCUUGAUUUGCAAGAAUAGAUACAAAAUCUCCUCCUUUUUUUUCUUUAUGGUUGCUGUAGAUUUUUGGUGAAGAGAGGAGUAUUUAUACUCUAUAAUUUCUCUUAUUUGCACUUAGGCCCCAUUUCCUUUAAGUGUAUUAUUUCCUUCAAUUAAAUCCAACCCUCAACAUUACGGAGUUUAUUUAUAAUGUCUCGAAUUAUUUCGCUCGGAAAUUUAUAUUCAAAAAUUUCUGAAUUCUUGUUUUUAUUUAACCAUAUGCAUGAAUUUCUUCAAUUUUAUUUCCCAAGUAGUUAGUUUGCAAUAAAUUUCUGCAAUAAAUUUAUAUUCAACCUUUAUUUUUCUUGGGGUUUACAAUGGGUUUUUGGCAUGGGAUAGUUUUAGUCAGCCUUGCUUUGUGCAUGAUGAUGGGUUUGGUCCGAUCUCUUUGGUGAUUCAUUCGGCCAAAUUAGGUCAGCCCAUGUAUGGGUUUGAUUUAGGCAAAAACGUAGGCUUGAUGGGAGCUUGUAUUAGGUCUAAUUCGGGUUCUAUUAAUGAGUAUGAGUUUGGGCCACUUGGAGUCCAAAGUUGGCUUGGGCUAAUUAAUAUGCUAGGAUCCUUUUCUUACAUGGAUCAACAAAAUAUUCUCCUAAAAUUGAAAGGAAAAUUCGUUCAUUAUUGUCCCUAUUAUUUAGGAGAAUAUUUAACAAUAAAGGAGGAAGUUUUCUAAUCAUGCAAGGAAACUAAAAGGGGCUAUAAUAUCCGAAUCUUACACUUGAAAGGAUCAUUUAAUGCCAAAUAUUUAAUUCUCCUAGUCAAGGAAUGAAAGUGAUGGGUGGCUGCAAGAGGAAUUAAUUUCUAAGAUUGUUUUCUAUGUUCUAAAAAGAAAUCUUACUUUUACAAGGAAAGAAGACUUUAGCAAUUAAAUUCCUAUUCAAAUGAGAUUUCCUAGCAUUAAAGGACUUUGAAAGUUGGUUAAGCAAUCCUAAAGUAUCUAGGAAGGUAGAUCUCAACUAAGAGUUAUUUAAGUUAGGAAAUUAAGAUAUUUUAUCUUGUUUUGUGUCACCAACAAGAUAAUAUCUAGACUUGUUUUCAUUAUUAUAUCUAUGUUUGAGAUUAAUUAAAACUUUAGUUUUUAGCCGAUAUUCAAGGCUUGUUCAGAUCAGGGUUUAGGCUUACUAGUAAAGGUUUUGGGCUAGUUUUUGUAACUGGGUCAAUUUAGUCCACAACAGUAUAUAUCCAUUAAGGUUAAUUUCUUAGAACUAUUUAAACACAUGUAAAGCCUAAAUUUCAAAAGUUUUGAUGAAUAAUAAAUUUGAACUUUUUAGUUUAAUGUGUGAGAGAGAUUCUUACAUUAUUUGGUUCUUGAACGAACUGAAUCUGACUUAUCAAAGAUUAUCUGAUUUCGUGAUGUCAUUUGACUUUAUUCCAGUAGUGCUGAUACCUUGGGAUAGGUUUUCAUUGUGUCACACUCCUAGCAGACCUCUUUCGUCAUUUCAGGAUUAGAUCAUAAUCUUGAUUGUGAGUUGCAUCAUCACGAGGUUCGUAUUAGAUGGUGGGUUUGGCAGCUCAUGAGACCUAUAUAUAUCUGGGCUCAGCUUGACUGAACUCGAGUAUGCUGGGUUAUUAUUCUAUCUUUGGUUACUCUUUUAAAAGAGAGGAUAUAUCUUUGUAAAAUAGGCGGUAAUGAAAAUAUGUAUACCUUGCAUAUCAAGAAGGGCUUUCCUUACUUUCCUGUAACAUGCAUUGCAAUCAAUGUUGAUCCUAAGCACCAUGCAGAAAAACUGCAUAAGUUCAUAAACAAAUCAGAAAAUUAAUGCGAUAACUUCAAUCCAAGUUGCUGCAAAAUGCUUGCCUAAUGUGUAUAUUGUGUGAUAUAUGGCAUUUUAAUGUUGCCUUUUCUGUCCUGAAUAUUUAACUGGCUAGAGAGGAGCUUCUUUUGGAAUCCAAACGUGUCGAUGCCAAACGGACGAUAGAAAGGCAAAUGAAUGGGAUAUCUAGAUUAUGAAGUAUCAGCACAACUUUUUAUUUUAUUUUAUUUCUUAUUAUUUUUGGAAUCUGAUUCUCCAGUUGUUAAUAGAGAGGUAAGGCGUGGUGAUGGCAGCGUUGUUUACCCGUUGUUCUUGACUUCUUUGCAUUGUUUUUAAUAUAUAUUGCAUGAACAACAAAGGAGAGCAUCCCUUUAAUGUAUAUACUUAAUUCUUCUCCAGAAAGGAGAAAAGCGGAAUACAAGGGAGAAACAAAUUAAAACUCUAGUCUUCUCUGCUAUAUUCUUAACUCUAUAGAUGCUGCAAAAAAUGAGGGAAGUGGUCACCAAUUAUUAAGGCAAUCCUCAUUUUGUCAACAAGCACUUUGCUGCUUUCAACUAAUCAACAGGAAUAGAGGAUGAAACCAGAACACUUGACACUCAUCAUGAGUUGAGUUUCAGGAGUUGGUUUUACAUAAUUUAAAAGGCAUGAAAGCGUAAAAAUGUCUCAUUGAGGUUUCUACUCAUUAGAUGAUUUAAUUCUAUAUUGUAAGGCAUUAUGUCAGAUUAGCUUACAAAUCCAAACACAACAGACCUUGCUUUAUUAGUCCUAUCAUAAAAGAUACAAUAAUAGUAUUUAUAUUUGAUAUCAUGCUGAUUUUGAAAUCAACUAUACGUGGUAAGAAAGUAGAGGAUUCCUUAACGUUUUGUAGGCUAGGUUGUUGAAGACAGCAGGGACUCUUGUCGAAGAACCUUCAGCGACAGAUUUAGGAGUGAGUGUCACUUUCUUUUCUACCACAUGCACCACAAUAGAUUCCAAAUCUGCAGACAUAUAUCCUCCAUUAGGGAAAUCAACUAUGUAUUUAUGUGUGCAUACACACUAUAUCUUCGAGUUAAUGAAAAUUUAGCAUCUCUUUUAGUUGAAUCUAAAUGCAUAAAAUUCUUAUAGUGUUGGGGACAAAUUAAGAGUUGAUCAAUUAACAUUUGCCUUCAAUACUUGAAAUUGCAUCAUUCACCCUCUUUUGGCAGCUGGGGCAUCGCAAUUCGGCUGCUAAAACAACUUCCUGAACCUACAACCAUCACCAGAAUUAUUUACCAUAAGUAAAAGCAAACAAGCUCCCUUAUGUCUAUGAUCCAUUUACAUCAAAUGAAUCAGAUCAACAGAGAGAACGCACCAGAGGUUUCUGCGAGGAGAUAACAGGAGCUGAGAUGAUUCGACGAAGCGGUGGUCUUACAUGUUUGUAGAUUGUAAGUUUAGCAAGCCCCUUCUCAGCCCAAAAUUCCAUUGUAAGUUCAUGGAUUCAUCCUCAUGUUAUAGCUAGUAGCAACCCAAUAAAUGGACCAUUUUUUAUAGAGAAAUGAUAUCUUUAGUCGUUGAGACGGCAAAGUUGAUUGAGAUGGAGCAUGUGAUGGCAGAACAAAUAGAUGCAAGCCUAGUGCCAUGUUGACAAGGGAAUAAAGAGAACUUCUUUUUAAUCCAUCUUUUGUUGUUUAAUUUUCUUUUGCCCCCUCCUCAAUAAAUGCACGCAACAGCCAGUGGGAGCAGAUUUUACUGCUUUGACAGAAUCAGAUGUGAAGUUUGUACUUGAUGUUAUAGCUCGACAAUUAUACGUUUCUGAAUACUCACAAGUAGCUGCUAUAUGUGCAUGGUGAAUAGCACUCAGGUUAAAAAAUUACAUCAUCUAUCUUUUCAAUGGAAGAGAGUUCAUGGGCAUGCAGGUUACUUGAACUUUAAGAUCUAUUCUAAAAGCCUAAAUUAUUGUUUCUAUAAGAAAAUUAGGAAAAACGUUUUGUCCUUGGAGUUGAAUGAUGAUGCUAACAAGCAAGUAGCUAUUUUUCAAGAAGAGGCAUCCCAAAAAUUAUUUCUACCAUUUUGAAAAGGCUGAACACUUUUAUGUAUUAUACAUACCAGAUCAAAACUUCCUGGAUGUUCUGUCCUUGAAAUUUAAUCUUGAGUUUGAAUCAUUUGCCCCAAAGUUCAGACAAAUUAUUUGUAACAACAAUUUACUGCCUUUCCUUUUGCAUAAAGGCUAUCAGGACCCCUGCUGCUAUAAUGCCCUCCUCCCAUUAGCUCAGAGCCGCAUAUUUUUUGUUUUGAAAAUUCAAUAUUCAGUAUUGGAUUUGAUCGAAAUUAAUUUACUCGUAAUUCGUAUGGAUGAGAUAUAUUUUAUCUUUAUAUAUAUAUAAUUAAACAUGUAGUACGAUUAAAUAGCAUGGAGGGCAUACUCUCUACCUAUAAGCAUUGCUGUGAAUUGUAAUAGAUAAAAGAUUAUACUUGCAUGGCAUUAUUAAUCCAGUUUCAUUUUGAAGGAAGAAGAUGAGACGCAGAUCUGGUAAGAACAGCUAGCAUGAUCAUGUCAUUCGGAACUUGCACUAGUAAGACAAUUGGUUCAAACAUGCCAAUUUCUAGUCUUUCAACAUAUCUCAUAUAUAUAUUAUCUUGAAUUUAGAUGUACAGCUAGCUAGUUAGGUGGAAGAAAUGAACAAGAAGUGCAUGUAGAACACACACCAUGCAUGUAACAACUCACACUCUAAAUGCACUCUCAGCUUAUUUAGUCAUCUUUCUAACCCUAGAUUUUCUAUCCAAAACAGCACAUCAUGGCCUCCCUGUACUCUGAGCCUCCUACCAUUGCAAUUACUUCACUAGUUUUGCUUCUUCUCAUUUCCCUUCCACCCACAAUCCUCUCACAAAAUCCCCCCAUCCCCACUGACCCAACAGUAACUGAUUGCACUCCAAGGCUGCUACCACUGGCCCCAUGUGCCCCAUUUGUUCAAGGCAUCGCUCAGACACCAGUUCAACCUUGCUGUGACAACCUCAACCAACUCUACCAGGAGCAGCCUGGUUGCAUUUGCCUCUUGCUCGAAGACACCAACUUGAGCUCUUUCCCAAUUAAUCGCACCUUAGCCCUGGAGCUGCCUGCUCUUUGCAACGUGCAAAUUAACAUUGCUGCCUGUUCAGGUAUAUAAUAUUCAAUCUGAACAUUCUAGAUCAUAGAGGCUGUUGUUCUUUACCAUAAUUCAAAUCCCAUUUUCAAGACUAGAAAGAUUUAACUUUUUUUCUUUUAUUUUCUCAUUAUGAAUUUUAUUUACUACUAUGUGUGCUAAAACUUCGCAAUUUCUUGGUGAAUCAGGGACCCCUCAGGUCCUCUCUAGUCCACCUGCUUCUCAAGUUUACCCGGGAGCACCCUCCAAUUCUUCUGUUGGGAGACACACCGACUAUUCUUUUGCUGGUAUUCAUAAUAUUAAUUUGGCUUUGCAUCCACUAAUUUCGUUCUUAGGUGAACCCUUUAUUAUCAUUACAGAAUGAUGGUCCCCUUAUCAGUGUUCAGAAGUAGAAAGUGAUUUUAUUAACAAUCUGAGUCUGGUUUUUUAUUUUUCUUUCCUGACCAUGCUUCUUGUUUUCUUUUGGAACUCAGCUUCUCCUGUGGUUGAAGGGGAGCCAAGAUCCUCCAUCAUGGGAAUCGGAUUUCAUCGGAGUACUGGUGUUAAGUUGGAGGCAGAAGGUUCCUUGAUGCUUCUGGUGACUCUGGCAGUCGUUUCUUUAUCAAAAAGCAUUUCGUUGGGUCUAGGUUAAUAAUAAGCAUGUUGUGUUUAUCCUAUAUUGGUAUUCUUAGUCUUAGUAUUUGGGAUAAUACAGUGCUGGUUUUAAACAGUUGUUUCCUAUGGAUGAUUGCACCUGUAUUAGAAAGGUUAACCAGUUUGGAGUGUAAAAGGUAAGUGCUUGAACGGCAUUUUUUAACCUCCAGUGAUUUUAUUGCAGAAGGCUAUGCAAUCAUGAAAUCGCAGCCAAACUACACGGUUGCUAUACUUUAAUCAUAAGACAUGAAACCUUGAAUACCACCUCAACCCAAAAUGCCACUUAUCACUCAAAGUGAGCAGGAGUCUAUGAAAAUACAUUUGAGUAGCAGGUAGACAACGAACAAAGAGAACAGCCGGAAAUUACCUAGCAAUUUUUUUGUCAAGAUGAAAGUAUCAAUAUGAUUUUCCCAUUCCACUUUGAGUUUUUUCCCUUACUUGAGAGACUCCGGACGCUACUUUUCCUAAGCUGCUUCGAGCUAACAGCUGCUUCUUUUCUUUGCCACGAAUGGACGUGCAUAUACAUACAACUUGAAUAUCUUGAAAAUGCCGAGUCUUUAACCAUUUCUUCCCAAAAGUCCUAUUCCAAAUAAUUUCCCUUAUGGUUUCCCUAGUUAAGAAUGGAAGAAUUAGGUCAAAUCCCCCCUUCCUAUCAACCCUCAAGUUUUCAGUUGAAAACUCUUUCCAAGUUCAGCAAAUCAGAAGACUCGCAUAGAAACUGAAAGAGAGAAUUUCAGACAACCACACAAAAAUAGUGUGUGCUAGUAAACUGAACUCAUACUAGGAAUUUUUCUAUAUCAAUAUCUCACAAAAUAAUUACAUACAUACAUACAUUUGAAAAGUUACAAAAUAGAAGCAUUACCCUGUCAAUCAAGGACAUUCUUUUGUAGGAUCUAUAUCAUAGUCCAGAAGUAGAGAUUCUUCACAUUCAUUAUAGAGUGACUAUUCCAAACUAGGUGCCACCUCAGUUGGAUUGGAGUCGAAGACGUCAGAAUUAGAUGCUUCAGGUUCUUCUAAAAGAUCCCGCGACUGGAUUGACUCUUUGUAUGCAGGUGUCUCCUUAAAAUCCGCUGCCCCUCCAUUGUACGUAGCCACGGCAAUCCCACAUGCAACUAGCUGACAAAGAUAAGUAGAACAUUAGCCCUGAAGAGUAACAAAGAAACUACUUCCACUAAUCUAAACUGAGAGAGGAAUCUACUACUGGAGAUAAAGUAGCAGAAAUCAUUCACACCAAUUAAAGCUGCAAGCCAAAAGUCUUGAAUAGAUAGGCUUCUAUAAGAAGUAGCUUCAAAUUUUUCACUAUCCAAACUGAAUUAAGGGUUCUCAGCCGUCGUAAGCUUGACAUGCACAGAGGUCAAGCAGAGAUAGUUUCCAGCUUCCAUGCGCUUAUUCUUUUUCUUCUUUUCUUUCGGAAGUGAAAGAAAUAGUAAAGAAGAAAACUUUCAUAACCUUGGCUUACCUUGGUCAUAGCUAGUCAAAUAGCAAGAAAACCAGUAUUCCGUGUUAGAAAAUUCUAUCCUCGAAUAUCCAAAAACAUUUCUCUAUCUGUAUCUUCUCUUCGUAUUCGGUUUCCAUUUUUCUUCCCAUUUUAGCCAGAUCAUGCACCGGUAAAAGUAAAACACAAUCAAAUGUAUUAAAGAAACAAAGGAUCACCCUUUUAUUCUUCCAUUACAUUACAUUUCAUUACAUAAUACCAAAUGUAUCCUAAAUUCAUACACAAAUGGAGUACUAAUUUGCAGCAACUUGAAACCAUACAAAAAAUCUUCUACCCAUUGAUUUCUAAGAAUUGUUGGAGUAUGUCUAUAAGUAGUUGAUAGUUGUAAUUGCAUAUGAGAUAUCUGAGAUCAUAACAGGGACAGAGAACAAAAAGUUCCUAGAUCACAUAUAAUAACAACUUAAGUAAUCAUUCUCGAAAGUACAACCAGUACUCUGAAUCUCAAGUCUAAAAACUAAAUUUUCUUUACCCACAGUUUGUUGGGCAAUGUUAGAAACAAUCCACACUCAAUUGACUAUAACUAGAUUCAACUUAAAUUUCUAGUGGUCAAUAGAUUCACCCCGUCAAUAGCAUAGGAUAAGAAAUUGGUAAGUUAUAGUCGUAUUUACAAUCUUUUUCAAGCAAAAAGCCAGAAAAUGGAAAUAUACGAUGCAUAUGAGGCAAAUAACUAUAAUUAGCAGCAGAAAGCCAGAAACAAGAGCAACAAUACUUGAACAAAAGAUAAAAGUAGACAGGCAUAUCAUACCGCAAAAACAAUACCAAAAGCCCACAUAUACUGCACGAAGAAACCAAAACCAUCCCACUGUGGGCCUUCCCAGAAAUCAGGCUCAUCCCCAGGAAGCUCUGGCAAGAAAUAGCCAUCAUAAUUCUCACCAACACUUGUGCUAACAUUUUUAACUUCACCAUUAACAUUUUCAUCACCACCACUACCAUCCCUUUUAUUCUCUUCUUGGUCUUUGGUCGAAGUAGUUGAGUUCCUCCUGUUCUUGCUGUCAAACUUGCCAAUUCUAGAGACAGAGGAAAGUUUCUUGUUGGAAGCUGAGACUAUAUGGAGGUGAUCUUGAGGUGAUCUUCUGAGUGGAAACAGGAAUUGAGGACGGCAUGGAGUGUGGGUGUAAGGGUGGUGUCUCGUGGGGUUGGUGUAGAGGAUUCUGCCUCCACCACCAUUGCCAUUGGCUAUGAAGAGAGACAUGAAUUCGGGGGCGAGUGAGGGGA